CAACAAAGAAACUUACUUGAAUUUGACAGAUGAUAACACACAAUCCAUUAAGAUUAUUACAUUUCUCUUUGGUGUGUAAAAACAAUUCAACCACACUCCUUUCCCUAUAAAAGGACCAGAAUGCUGAACUCCUCACCAUAUAUAACUCAGAACAAUCUGCAGCAAAUUCUUGUGCAACAAUGGCUAAAGUUCAGAUCUUCUUCAUGUUGACCAUUGCAGCACUUUUGUCAGUGGGAACGUUAGCUGAUAAGUUUGGUAGGAAAGAAUGCUAUGAGAUACAUCCAGAAAUCCUGUGUGAAAAUGGGGACACUUCCAAAUGUUCGGAUUUCUGCAAGAAAAAGUUUGGGCCUUCCACGACUGUGCAAUGUAUUGAAAAUGUAGGCUUUCAGGGUCCUUUCUGCGUUUGCAAUGCCUGCUGACGGCCGCCUGCUGUGUAGCUGAAGAGCACAGCACAGCUGCUUUAGCCUCCCUUCUUAUGAUGUACUCUGUAUCUUGAUCUUCAAGCAAUGCAUCAUGUUCUUGAA